AACGAACGCUGGCGGCGCGCUUAACACAUGCAAGUCGAACGAGAAGGCGUAGCAAUACGCUUGUACAGUGGCGAACGGGUGAGGAAUACAUGGGUAACCUACCCUCGAGUGGGGAUAACCCGCCGAAAGGCGGGCUAAUACCGCGUACGCUUCCGAUCUUGCGGGAUUGGAAGGAAAGCUGUCCCUUGGGGAUGGCGCUCAAGGAUGGGCUCAUGUCCUAUCAGCUUGUUGGAGGGUAACGGCCUCCCAAGGCAUCGACGGGUAGCUGGUCUGAGAGGACGAUCAGCCACACUGGCACUGCGACACGGGCCAGACUCCUACGGGAGGCAGCAGUGAGGAAUAUUGCGCAAUGGGCGAAAGCCUGACGCAGCGACGCCGCGUUGGGGAUGAAGGUCUUCGGAUUGUAAACCCCUUUCGGGAGGGAAGACGGCCUUAGACAACUAAGGCGGACGGUACCUCCAGAAGCAGCCACGGCUAACUUCGUGCCAGCAGCCG
rnacentral:rRNA from 1 species